rnacentral:rRNA from 1 species
UACGUAGGGUGCAAGCGUUGUCCGGAAUUAUUGGGCGUAAAGAGCUCGUAGGCGGUUUGUCGCGUCGGGAGUGAAAACACUGGGCUUAACCGAGUGCUUGCUUUCGAUACGGGCAGACUUGAGGCAUUCAGGGGAGAACGGAAUUCCUGGUGUAGCGGUGAAAUGCGCAGAUAUCAGGAGGAACACCGGUGGCGAAGGCGGUUCUCUGGGAAUGUUCUGACGCUGAGGAGCGAAAGUGUGGGGAGCGAACAGG